CCUUAGAGUUUGAUUCUGGGUCAGGACGAACGCUGGCGGCGUGCCUAACACAUGCAAGUCGAACGGGGUCGGCCCCUUCGGGGACUGACUUAGUGGCGAACGGGUGAGUAACGCGUGAAUAACCUGCCUUUCAGUGGGGGACAACAGUUGGAAACGACUGCUAAUACCGCAUGAUGUUUCCGGGAGGCAUCUUCUGGAAACCAAAGCUUUAUGUGCUGAAAGAUGGAUUCGCGUCUGAUUAGCUAGUUGGUGAGGUAACGGCUCACCAAGGCGACGAUCAGUAGCCGGUCUGAGAGGAUGAACGGCCACAUUGGGACUGAGAUACGGCCCAGACUCCUACGGGAGGCAGCAGUGGGGAAUAUUGGGCAAUGGGGGAAACCCUGACCCAGCAACGCCGCGUGAAGGAAGAAGGCUUUCGGGUUGUAAACUUCUUUUACCAGGGACGAAGGACGUGACAGUACCUGGAGAAAAAGCAACGGCUAACUACGUGCCAGCAGCCGCGGUAAUACGUAGGUUGCAAGCGUUGUCCGGAUUUACUGGGUGUAAAGGGCGUGUAGGCGGAGAAGCAAGUUGGGAGUGAAAUCCAUGGGCUCAACCCAUGAACUGCUCUCAAAACUGUUUCCCUUGAGUAUCGGAGAGGCAAGCGGAAUUCCUAGUGUAGCGGUGAAAUGCGUAGAUAUUAGGAGGAACACCAGUGGCGAAGGCGGCUUGCUGGACGACAACUGACGCUGAGGCGCGAAAGCGUGGGGAGCAAACAGGAUUAGAUACCCUGGUAGUCCACGCUGUAAACGAUGAAUACUAGAUGUCGGGUAGCAUAGCUACUCGGUGUCGUCGCAAACGCAAUAAGUAUUCCACCUGGGGAGUACGUUCGCAAGAAUGAAACUCAAAGGAAUUGACGGGGACCCGCACAAGCGGUGGAGCAUGUGGUUUAAUUCGAAGCAACGCGAAGAACCUUACCUGCUCUUGACAUCCCAUUCGAUAGAAGGUAAUGCUUCUAGCCCUUCGGGGGAAUGGAGACAGGUGGUGCAUGGUUGUCGUCAGCUCGUGUCGUGAGAUGUUGGGUUAAGUCCCGCAACGAGCGCAACCCUUAUUGUUAGUUGCCAUCAUUCAGUUGGGCACUCUAGCGAGACUGCCGGUAAUAAACCGGAGGAAGGUGGGGAUGACGUCAAAUCAUCAUGCCCCUUAUGACCUGGGCUACACACGUGCUACAAUGGUUGGUACAACGAGUCGCAAGUCGGUGACGGCAAGCUAAUCUCUUAAAGCCAAUCUCAGUUAGGAUUGUAGGCUGCAACUCGCCUACAUGAAGUCGGAAUCGCUAGUAAUCGCGGAUCAGCACGCCGCGGUGAAAACGUUCCCGGGCCUUGCACUCACCGCCC
rnacentral:rRNA from 1 species